GGUAAGCAGGGAUUUGCGGAAAAUGCCCAUCAGAGUCUCAUCAUGUCGAGGGAAACAAGGAAAAAGAUGACCCAUGACCAACCAUUUGAGGAGCAAAUUCGAACACCACCACCAUUUCUUAAUCCCGUGGUGGGCUAUACUCUCACCUGCCCAACUCAGCCUUUAAAAAAAGCAGGAAAAAAAAAAAAAACAGAAAAGAUAAAAACCUGCCACC
rnacentral:lncRNA from 1 species